GUGGCGAACGGGUGAGUAACACGUGGGCAAUCUGCCCUGCACUCUGGGACAAGCCCUGGAAACGGGGUCUAAUACCGGAUAUGACUGCCAUGGGCAUCCGUGGUGGUGGAAAGCUCCGGCGGUGCAGGAUGGGCCCGCGGCCUAUCAGCUUGUUGGUGGGGUGAUGGCCUACCAAGGCGACGACGGGUAGCCGGCCUGAGAGGGCGACCGGCCACACUGGGACUGAGACACGGCCCAGACUCCUACGGGAGGCAGCAGUGGGGAAUAUUGCACAAUGGGCGAAAGCCUGAUGCAGCGACGCCGCGUGAGGGAUGACGGCCUUCGGGUUGUAAACCUCUUUCAGCAGGGAAGAAGCGCAAGUGACGGUACCUGCAGAAGAAGCACCGGCUAACUACGUGCCAGCAGCCGCGGUAAUACGUAGGGUGCGAGCGUUGUCCGGAAUUAUUGGGCGUAAAGAGCUCGUAGGCGGCUUGUCGCGUCGGAUGUGAAAGCCCGGGGCUUAACCCCGGGUCUGCAUUCGAUACGGGCAGG
rnacentral:rRNA from 1 species